CGAAUGCUGACGUGAGUAACGACAAAACGGGUGAAAAACCCGUUCGCCGAAAGACCAAGGGUUCCAGUCCAACGUUAAUCGGGGCUGGGUGAGUCGACCCCUAAGGCGAGGCCGAAAGGCGUAGUCGAUGGGAAAAUGGUUAAUAUUCCAUUACUUCUGUGUAAUGCGAUGAGAGGACGGAGAAGGCUAAAUCAGCCUGGCGUUGGUUGUCCAGGUGAAAGGAUGUAGGCAUGUAUCUUAGGCAAAUCCGGGGUACUCUAUGCUGAGAUCUGAUAGCAAGCUGUACUUGUACAGCGAAGUGGUUGAUGCCAUGCUUCCAGGAAAAGUCUCUAAGCUUCAGUUACACAGGAAUCGUACCCGAAACCGACACAGGUGGUCAGGUCGAGUAGACCAAGGCGCUUGAGAGAACUCUGCUGAAGGAACUAGGCAAAAUGGUACCGUAACUUCGGGAGAAGGUACGCUGUUGUUGGUGAUGGAACUCGCUUCCUGAGCUGACGACAGCCGCAGAAACCAGGCCGCUGCAACUGUUUAUUAAAAACAUAGCACUCUGCAAACACGAAAGUGGACGUAUAGGGUGUGAUGCCUGCCCGGUGCUGGAAGGUUAAUUGAUGGGGUUAGCGUAAGCGAAGCUCUUGAUCGAAGCCCCAGUAAACGGCGGCCGUAACUAUAACGGUCCUAAGGUAGCGAAAUUCCUUGUCGGGUAAGUUCCGACCUGCACGAAUGGCAUAAUGAUGGCGGCGCUGUCUCCAGCAGAGGCUCAGUGAAAUCGAAAUCGCUGUGAAGAUGCAGUGUACCCGCGGCUAGACGGAAAGACCCCGUGAACCUUUACUGCAGCUUGACACUGAACUUUGACCUUACUUGUGUAGGAUAGGUGGGAGGCUUUGAAGCUGGAACGCUAGUUCCAGUGGAGCCGUCCUUGAAAUACCACCCUGGUAAUGUUGAGGUUCUAACUCUGUCCCGUGAUCCGGGACGAGGACCGUGUCUGGUGGGUAGUUUGACUGGGGCGGUCUCCUCCUAAAGAGUAACGGAGGAGUACGAAGGUGCGCUCAGCGUGGUCGGAAAUCACGCGUAGAGUAUAAAGGCAAAAGCGCGCUUAACUGCGAGACCCACAAGUCGAGCAGGUACGAAAGUAGGUCUUAGUGAUCCGGUGGUUCUGUAUGGAAGGGCCAUCGCUCAACGGAUAAAAGGUACUCUGGGGAUAACAGGCUGAUACCGCCCAAGAGUUCAUAUCGACGGCGGUGUUUGGCACCUCGAUGUCGGCUCAUCUCAUCCUGGGGCUGAAGCAGGUCCCAAGGGUAUGGCUGUUCGCCAUUUAAAGAGGUACGCGAGCUGGGUUUAGAACGUCGUGAGACAGUUCGGUCCCUAUCUACCGUGGGCGCUGGAAAUUUGAGAGGAUCUGCUCCUAGUACGAGAGGACCAGAGUGGACGAACCUCUGGUGUACCGGUUGUGACGCCAGUCGCAUCGCCGGGUAGCUAUGUUCGGAAGGGAUAACCGCUGAAAGCAUCUAAGCGGGAAGCCUACCUCAAGAUAAGAUUUCCCUAGGACUUUAUGUCCUCUAAAGAGCCGUUCGAGACUAGGACGUUGAUAGGUUGGAUGUGGAAGCAUAGUGAUAUGUGAAGCUGACCAAUACUAAUUGCUCGUGAGGCUUGAC
rnacentral:rRNA from 1 species